GACACGCUGGCGGCGUGGAUUAGGCAUGCAAGUCGAACGGUAUCAUCCUUUCGGGGAUGAGAGAGUGGACGAACGGUGAGUAACACGUAGGUGAUCUACCUCAAGACGGGACAACCGAGGGAAACUUGGGCUAAUACCGGAUGUGAGCUAUCGCGAGAUAGUUUGAAAGGUGGCUUCGGCUGCCGCUUGAGGAUGAGCCUGCGUCCUAUUAGCUAGUUGGUGAGGUAACGGCUCACCGAGGCAGUGAUAGGUAGGCGGCCUUAACGGGUGGUCGCCCACACUGGGAUUGAGAUACGGCCCAGACUCCUACGGGAGGCAGCAGUCGAGAAUAGUCUACAAUGGUCGAAAGACUGAUAGUGCGACGCCGCGUGAACGAAGAAGCCCUUCGGGGUGUAAAGUUCUUUUAUAUGUGAGCAGUGACACCCAUAUUAAUAGUAUGGGUGUAGAGAUAUUAGCAUAUGAAUAAGCAACGGCUAACUCCGUG
rnacentral:rRNA from 1 species